AUUGAACGCUGGCGGCAGGCCUAACACAUGCAAGUCGAGCGGAGCGGCGGACGGGUGAGUAAUGCCUAGGAAUAUGCCUGGUAGUGGGGGAUAACGUCCGGAAACGGGCGCUAAUACCGCAUACUAGCAGCUGAGCCUAGGUCGGAGUAGAUAGUGGGUGGGGUAAAGGCAUACAAAGGCGACGAACCCGAGCUGGUCUGAGAGGAUGACCAGCCACACUGGAACUGAGACACGGUCCAGACUCCUACGGGAGGCAGCAGUGGGGAAUAUUGCACAAUGGGCGCAAGCCUGAUGCAGCCAUGCCGCGUGUAUGAAGAAGGCCUUCGGGUUGUAAAGUACUUUCAGCGGGGAGGCGUUACCCGCAGAAGAAGCACCGGCUAACUCCGUGCCAGCAGCCGCGGUAAUUC
rnacentral:rRNA from 1 species